GGAAGUGGGGACGACGUCAAAUCAUCAUGCCCCCUUAUGUCCUGGGGCUACACACGUACUACAAUGGCAACAACAGAGGGCAGCCAUGCCGCGAGGCAGAGCGAAUCCCAAAAUGUUGUCUCAGUUCAGAUUGCAGGCUGCAACUCGCCUGCAUGAAGUCGGAAUUGCUAGUAAUGGCAGGUCAGCAUACUGCCGUGAAUACGUUCCCGGGCCUU
rnacentral:rRNA from 1 species